rnacentral:rRNA from 1 species
AUUGAACGCUGGCGGCAUGCCUAACACAUGCAAGUCGAGCGGAUGAAGGUGGCUUGCUCCUGGAUUCAGCGGCGGACGGGUGAGGAAUGCCUAAGAAACUGCCUGGUAGUGUGGGAUAACGUCCGGAAACGGGCGCUAAUACCGCAUAUGAUCUGAGGGAGAAAGUGGGGGAUCUUCGGACCUCACGCUAUCAGAUUAUCCUAGUUCGGAGUAACUAGUGGGUGGGGUAAAGGCCUACCAAGGCGACGAUCCGUAACUGGUGUGAGAGGAUGACGAGUCACACUGGCACUGAGACACGGUCCAGACUCCUACGGGUGGGAGCAGUGGGGAAUAUUGGACAAGGGGAGAAAGCCUGAUCCAGCCAUGCCGAGUGUGUGAAGAAGGUCUUCGGAUUGUAAAGCAAUUUAAGUUGGGAGGAAGGGGAGUAAGUUAGUACCUUGCUGUUUUGACGUUACCAACAGAAUAAGCACCGGCUAACUUCGUG